rnacentral:rRNA from 1 species
AUUGAACGCUGGCGGCAGGCCUAACACAUGCAAGUCGAACGAGUGGCGGACGGGUGAGUAAUGUCUGGGAAACUGCCUGAUGGAGGGGGAUAACUACUGGAAACGGUAGCUAAUACCGCAUAACAUAAGAUGUGCCCAGAUGGGAUUGUCUUGUUGGUGGGGUAACGGCGCACACAGGCGCAGAUCACUAGCUGGUCUGAGCGGAUGACAAGCCACACUGGAACUGAGACACGGUCCAGACCCCUACGUGAGGCAGCAGUGGGUAAUAUUGCACAAUUGGCGAAAGCCUGAUGCAGCCAUGCCGCGUGUAUGAAGAAGGUCUUCGGGUUGUAAAGUACUUUCAGCGGGGAGGCGUUACCCGCAGAAGAAGCACCGGCUAACUCCGUGCCAGCAGCCGCGGUAAUAC